AAAAAAUACAGGAAAAAAAGUUAUUUCAUGAAAGCAACAACUGAUGAAUGACUUCAUAUUUUCUUUAUGCAGUAGAACAAAUCAGUGGACGUCCGCUUAAUUUUUAUUCCACCUGGUGUCUUUUGACCUACAUGGAGAUGCACAAUAUCAUGUGAAGAAAAUGCAUUCAGUUCACCAUAGCAAAUUCCAGGAGCCAGACCUUGCCUGCACCAGCACAUCCAUCUCUCACAGUUCAGGCAGGAAGGGCCCACCCAUGGCCUCAACUAAUACCACUUCUUCAGAGGGUUUAUCUCAAUUUGGUAGCCAAUAUCAACUCUAACAGAUAGACAGCAAUUAACAGGUCCCAAAGGCCAAGAUCUAAGUUGCCUACUUCAUUCAAAGGUUGAACUGCUACUCAAGCAAGAGGCCUGCUGCUGUCCGAAUAUCUUCAUGCAAACCUUCCUCCUGACUCAAGGCACAUUUGACCUUCAAUCAUACUUGUGCUUGUUUUUGGAUUUUUUUUUAUCCAGCAUCACAACCUACAAUUGGUGCAUGAGAAACAAGUGAUACAGUACGUUGCCCAGCACAGAGAAUUUUACACAAAGAUAUUACUUCUACAAUGUCUCAUUCACAAAAAGCAAGCAUUCUGUAUCUACUUUGCCAGUACAGUGACACUGAGUCUUCUUAACUGUAAUUCAAUAAACAGCAUUUUGUAGGCUGCACAGACUAAAGAUACAAGAUUACUGUUGUUUAGUGUAAAUCUUGAUAGAAAUACAAUAAACCUGUUUUAAAAUCAGUUACUGCUGUCCCCCUUUUAAUCCAGAGCAAGACUGUAUCAGUGAUCCUCCUUCUAUUUUUACUGUUGGCGUGCAAGCCUCUAAUACUGAUUGCUGGAAAUUGCCCAGGUAAUUCAGUGGAACACUGGAUUUCAAACAUGCUGUUUUGAACUUUUUUUAAAAGAUUAAAAGGAAGACCAACUGACAGACAUGAAAUAUAUUUGCAACGCAAUCCAAUAGUUCUUUAGAAAGUUCAUAUCUGAUGAGAACUACUGUGAACUGCUAAUUGCUGAAAUCACCAUGUGUCACACAGCACGGCAGCUUUUAUGGUCUUUGUUACUAAAAACAUCUAAAUAUCCAUGUUUAAUGACUGAACAUCAAGUGAAUACAAAAUAUAGAUGGAGACACCUAAAUAAGUAAGGGCAUGACACGGUUUCAAUUGUAUGUGAUAAUUGGGAAAGGGGUGCAUUAAUUCAAAUCUGAUAAAAUUCUUAAGACAUUUUUAGUUGUGCCUCUUUACCUGGGAGAGAAAGAACCAAAACACUAGCAUUCUAAGAAAAUCAAAAUUAACUACUUGGAUGUAAAGAAAUACUAUAAUUGUCUCCUUCGCUCUUCAAGAUGUGCCAAAGCACAUCUGCAGAGGUUUAAAAGCCAUACAGAACAUUCACAGAACAAAGAGAGCAAUCGAGUAGAACAUAGCAAUCAUUAUAUUUCUUUGUUUUUUUUCCAUAUGAAGGAGUUCAAAAUAAUUUUCCCCACAAUAGUUCCAAAAAUCCUUUUGCUACAAGAGAUAGUGGAUGAGAAAUUUCAAAUAAAGACUUAGAUAUGGCCCUUGAUUAAUCUUAUAUUUCUUUACAUAUACGAUAUCAUAUGAACAACAGCAAAAUUCCUGUGUUGCUUCACUGUUCCUGUUUUAUAUAAUUUUUUUCUGUUCAAUAUAAAAAGUCACCCCUUAGAUCAGUUCCUUUAAGAGUCUGUAUCUAGUGGUUCCAUAGACAAUUCCCAUCAAAUACUCCAGUAUCCAGCAUUAAAUUAUUAAUUCUCCUCAAGCGAUAAAAGAUUAAGUCUAUUAUUUUUACAAUGUUUUCUAUUCAUUCCUUACAAUUACUAACUUGUAAACACAAAAACUUAUACACAGAGGAAAAAAAAAAUAUCUUCCCAAACAUUACUAUUGGAUUUAAUUACAAAAUACAGGCUGAGGGUCAUUCAGAUGCCUAUUUCAGCAAAUCACGUUGGACUUCAGCAAAACAUUUCUUGCAUCAUCAGAUGAAUUCAUUCAAAGUUUAUUUCAGUUGGAUAGGACAAGAACUUUCACAGCAAGAUUAAAAUUUUUUGAUGAGCUGAAAAACGAAUACAAUUCUCAGGACUCUCAUAAUUGGGAGGCAUGAGAUACACAAGGCAAAGAAGUUAAUAAUAAAAGAACCCAUUGUUAGAUUCCUUUAAGCAAUAAUGCUUCCCAAGGCGCUGUUCUACUAUUGCACAUCUUCAAUGAUUCUACUGUGGGGAAAAGUGGACAUUUUUAUUAGGCCAAGAUUAAAUUUGAGUGUAAUGGAAGUUAACCUGUGGGAAAAGAUGGUAGGAAUCUAUGCAGAAUCCUUCGACACCACUCACUGUAAGCCAGUGGGCACAACCUUAAAACCAACAGUUCUAGUGCCCCGCCUGUUUUCCCAGUAAAAGACCAUCAGUGGGAUGAGAAGGGCAAAUUUCAAUAGCAAUUCAUAUCUCUAAAAUUUCAUUUUUUUUUUUUAAUGCAUGUUGACAAAAUGUCAGGGGAGCACAAAAACUGGAAAAGGGGAAAAAAAACAAAAGAAAUAAUAACCAAUCCCACAUACAAAAAAGUACAAAAUAAACCAAAACAACAACAACAACAAAAACAACAGCAAAAACAACAACAGCGAAAAUAAAAACACUUGAUCAGCCUGCUUUUCGUUUUCAUUACAGUCCCCAAAAGAGAAUGCACAAGACCAUGCUGAGUUUCUCACUGAUAGCGGUGACAUCUAUUGAAGAAUGAAUUCAAAAGGAACUGCAACGUAGCCAAAAGGGUCACUGGUACAGCUUUAACAGAUGUUCACGUUUCUCUUCCUCCUACUUUCUUUACAGGGCCAUCCAUCCUGCCUCAUCAGCUGUUUCUACUUUUAAUCUUUUCCCACUCUCCCAAGAAUAAAUGUCACCCUUGCUGAGUUCCAGACACUUCCCGUUUCAAUCAUCCAGCAAAAGGGUAAAAAAACAAAAACAAACAAACAACAAAAAACCAAGUGAAACAAUAAGGAUUUUUUUGAACUUCAAUCAUCUGACUGUCUUUAAUACAUCAAGAAAAUACACAGGCUUUUACUUUAAGCAGCUGCCCUUUAGCUAGACUUGAAGUCAAAAUGCAUCUCUGUAUCUGUGAGAUAGGGGAGAGAGUUACUGACAUAUCAUGCCUACAUUCAUACACGUGCACAAAGGUAUUUCACAAAUUCUAUGGUAAUCUAUGAACCUCCUGAGAAAAAAUUUCCAGUAAAAAUCCCAUUAGCUUGCAACGAUGCUAUAACAUUACAACACUGAAGUUAAACGUGGAAAUGUGGAUGUAUAUAUCCUUCCUCUCUGCUGAAAGUGGGAGUGCAAAUGGCUAUUUCUUGACAAAAAACCCCACCCUCUUCCUGUUAUUCUAGCACUCCCUACUUUCUUGGGGCUAGCACUUUCAGACCAGGUAUUUUGUUAUUUCUGGUUCUUUUUAGAGAUAGGGAUACAGUUCAAACUAUUUCAUUCCCUCAGGCAGGGUUUAGUUCUUUCAGCCCGAGGUAUAGCCAAAAAAAAACAAGUUGGAAAAUGUCCAACCCUUUCCAAGCAUCCCUAAUGCAAAUUGUUGUAUUACACUGUUAGAAAAUUCCAGGAGCCCCAAGCAGAGCUACAGAAUCACUUACUUCUCUGGUCACAUAAGCUUUGGGGGAAAAGACUCUUCUUGUUCAGAGGCACAUUCUUUUCUAACUAUAAUGGCUUUUGUGGACCAUAUUACUUUAGUCCUGAAAGUGAGCUACCUCCAAGCUUGCACAGAGACCAAUUCAGGGCAAUUUGGAAAUCCUUCUAACCAGGUAAAAUGCUCUUUUAUUUCUGAAGGGACUUCUGCUAAUUUUUGGACCAAACUGCCCUGUUGGUAUUACACAACAGUUCACACCUGUAUGUGCAGGAAUUUCUCCAUCCUCCUAAUAAUAACAGGGAUAAUGAGGGAAACUAAAAAAUAAUGGCCACAGAACAAACAUACUGAACACUGGGUAGAACAGUUUCAUGACAUUAGAAUUCCUUGCUCCCUACUGCUACUUUUAACUAAGACCCAAACAUCAGCAGUUGCAGACUCCUAAAACAGGUGAGACAGGAAACUGAAAGAUGGAUUCUCUGAGACAACUUCUAUAGUAUAGAAGCACUAGCUCUUCACAGCUUCCUACAGACCUCACUGCACUGUAUUUUACAAUAAACAAAAUUUAACUUAAACAUACCGAUUUAAAACACUGAUAGGACUAUCCUGUGAAUGCUGGCAGAACUGCUGUAAGGCAGCGCUUAUAGAAUUACAUUGCUGCACUUAUUCUUUGAAACUUGUGUGACCACCACUCUUCAAAUCAGAUAGGGUCACAUCGUGAAAAACAGGUUAACAGAAGUAAAAACAGAAAUGCUUCCAGUACCAUUCUGAACUCCUUCAGAGGACUGGGACAGAUCCCUGUGUGUACCACUGGCUGGUAAUGGGCAGCAUCAGAAACAUGCAGCACUACAAAGAGCUUGCCUAAGAAAUGCAGCAGCACAUAUAAGGAUCAACUGAGAUCCCUUCAUCUGCAGAAAAAAAAUAUGCUUACAGGCCCAUUGAAGAUGUCCCCAAACGGACUGACAACUAUGAAAAGAUGCGCAAUAUUCAUUGCAUCACCACAAAAUAUAAAAUACAGAAAACAACUCAAAGCGCAACAAGCCCAGUUUCUUUCAACUUUUCAUUCUCCAGACUUGCAUCACUUCUCACAGAGACAUCUUAAAUAAAUGUCAAAUCUGUUGUUCCACACACCAACUUUUCUCCUUCUUUCUAUCUGCCUUUCCAACAGUUUUUUACUACAAAGUAGUUGUGGUAUGAUAGCAUUUACUCUGUUCUUGUGGACUAAAAAGAGAAACGUGUGAAGCAGAAACAGAGGGGCAUCUCCCAUUUUUAUGGAUUUAUUAUUUUGUACCAACUUCAUCACGCAUUUGGCAGUAGUCUAGCUCAAUACAAGAGCAUUCACUGCUCAUUUCUAGGACCACACAUACUGUGUGUUUCAAGGCCCACUUACAGGCUUACAGCAAGCAAAGAUGUAUCAUAUCUUUUAUUCUAUUAGCAUGCAAAUUGUUUGGUGUUUUUUUUUUUGUUUUUUUUUUUUGUGCAUCACUCUAGAAGCUUGCCAGAAGCCUUGCAGAGAUUACAGAACCAUCUGUAGAUAAAAUUACACAGAUUAAAUUACUUCUGUGUACUUUUUCCCAUUAACAGCUUUUGGCUACCAUUCAUCUAAGUUUUUUUCUCCCGCUUUUUCUCCCACUUCCAACAGAUUAUACUAGCAGUUACUGACAGCACUGUUGGCCAUCUCUAAUAAUUCCUAAAAUUGUAAGAAUGUACCAUAAAUUGAUGGUGGUGCUAGUUCUUUAGGCUAUAUAUUACAGUUAAAAAACAACCAAACUAACCAACCAAAAAAAAAAAAAUCCCAAAACCACAACCCACGCAAAAACACAAACAACCCACAACAAAAUCAUCAUAGCAACAGUUUUGAGGGUAAAACUCGAACAGGUUUCUUCCCAUGGAAUAUUCAGCAACUUCUGCCCUCAGGCACCAUCUCUCCUCUCCACACAGCAGACUGCAGAGCUAAGAUGGUUUUGUGUCUUUAUCCGUCACACCAACUUGGCUCUUUAAAUCUACACUGACACGGAUUCUAUUGACAAAAAAGGAUGCAUACCUUUCAGAUAUAGCUGCUAGAAAUACAAAAACAUUUCCUUCUUGUUCUUGCAUAGACAGACAUUCUCUCUCCCUCUGUUUCAAUGCCUUUAUUAUAGAUUAUUGAAGUUCUCUUCCCACUGAAAUAAGUUGAACUUUCUAUUGACUUCACAACUUAUGAAGCCAGCAGUACGAAAUGCUGCAAUUGCACAUGGAAGAAAUGCAACGACUCGAUUACAGACUAAUAGAGCUAAAAUUCAGCAGGAUUGUUUCCAUUUGUUAGAUAUCUAACUGUGCCAAAUAAAUGCAUCAUAUGAAUGUUAGAAAUAUUAAAGCAAAAUAACAAUACUCCACACUUCCAAAAUAAUUUCACAAUGUUUUCUUGGUUAUAUUUUCUGCCAAUAGUACUGAUUAUUUCAUCUUCUAAAUGAAAACCACUAUCAAAGUCUGACAGCAUGAUAUAGUAUAAAACUUUCUUACAUCUAGCUUAAAAAGAGAUAACAAGAACAGGCAGCAAGCAUAAAAUGACCUUUACUAUUGAAAUCAGCUUCCCUUGAACACACACCUUUACAUAUUUUAUCAAAAUAAAAUUAUAAUAAAAAAGCAGGAUAAUAUUUUCUCCACAGGUUGCAUUUUAAAAUUGAAUUUCGUUCAUUUAGUGCUUGUUUUACAGUUCCUGCCUUAUACUGUCUGAGCCCACGAUUCUACUGGAAUCAUAUAAUAUCACAGAAUAUCCCAAGCUGGAAGAACUCUUAUUUCUUCAUUCCAGCUGUGUAUUCAAGCAGGGACUAUCUUUAAUAUUUUAGACUAGGCCUUCAUUAAACAUUUUAUUCCAAGGGCUCUAUCUUUCUUCCUGUCUCCUUUUACAACUCCUUGGAGCUUGAAUAUAGGACAAGGAUUUGCACAGACAACACUGCCAUUCAUACAGUUGCUACAGUGAGGACAAGUUUCAUUCGUCCCUACAGAGCAUGGGCACAGGCCUUAACUGAGAGCAUGAAGACAGGACUUCUUUGCUACGAUUAAGAGAACCGAGAGCCUUAACAACGUAUCCCGAACAACGUUUCUCAUCUUGCUUUCCACUCAGCUUGCAUCUGCUGAUAUUAAUACCACAAAGAGUAACCUGCAAUAAAUCUCAGCAGCAGUGCAUGUUGGAAGGGUGUACAACGAGAAUUUUACUCUGUAGCAGAGGGGCUUUGCCUGCUUCUUUUCUUUCCUUUAGCAGCUUCUUCGUUCUCUCACACUUGGCUUCCUACUCCCUCAUUUCCCAACUGGGAAAUACAGAGGAGUUCAUUUCAAAUAUUUUACUUUAAACAGACUACAGUUAUAAGAUUAAAUUUUAUAUGUGAAAAAUAAGGCAUAUUAACUCUCUCCUCCAACAUUUCUGCACUUCCAAGAAAAAUCACUAUCACUCCAAAUUAAAAUAAUGACAGCAUGAAUUGAUGACUUCAAAGAGACAUGAAGACAAUUCUACAAAAACUCUCACUCAGAUGUUUGACAUUCAUUUAUUUUCCAGACGCUGCCUCUUCACAAGUGCAGAGUGAACUGCUGUUGUAUGUAUGUCUUGCAGGUGGUGGUUUUAUUUGAAGGACUGCUGCAGCUUACCAAGCAAGGACUGUAAAGAAAUCCAAAGAUUUCUUUGUGAAAAUGUUUACAGCUUGAAGCCAUUUACUCAACGGUCCCCUUAUGAAAGCUUUGUUGUUGUUGUUCAUUAAAACACGUUAAUUUUACGAGAACAGUAUUUUUGUAGUUCAAAGACUUUACUCAAGGUCAGAAUAAUGCAAUAGGAAUGAGAGAAUGGAUUAAACAAAAUGAAUCAGGACUUUUGUUUUUUUUCCAAGCUUACUGAUCACACUCUUUGUCACUGGCCUCGAGCCAGUUUGGCAAUUCCUUGUGUUCUGCGAAAGUCACAGGUCUUAAAUCAGAAAUUCUCCCAGAUUCACAUAUUGAAGUGUGGACACUUUCACAAAAACACAGACAGAAGUACUCUAAUUUUUUUAAAAUCGUUUUCUUAUAUGAAGUUUUAUAUAAGCGUUAUCUUUUAGGUGGACCACAGCACACUAACAACUCAGAGCAGGACGGAGAGAGAGCAGGUGGCCAGGAAAGGGAACUGCUCAUGCCAGCAUAAACACAGCGUUGCAGUAACUACCACAUUAGAACCAGCAUCCUAAAUUUGAGUUCACCUUUGGUCAUUGACUUCAAUACAACGGAUAAAGCAAACAGAGGAGAGAAUACCAGUGAGAAAUGUAGUGUUUAGAAUCAGCCUACUCAAAAUCUGUUCUCAGGCUACGGUUUGGACAUGAUUACCCCUGUUAGUACACUUCAUAUGCUGAGUUUGAAGGAAGAUUUCCCAGGAGGAAUUCCCCACAUUAAGUCACUUCGGUGAGACAAUCUACAUCAAUAUUCUCUCUGCAUCUACAAAUCACCAAGCAGGCUUCCAACACAGCUAAGUAAAUGUAUAAUCGUUACCUAAUGUGACCUUCUGUAGCCAGCUCUAUCUCUAUCUCAUCUCUUGCAACCCAUUCUAAGAUCUCACCUUAUAGAAUGAAUUGCAUUUAACAACCUUGUAUAACAAAUAUUUGCACCCUUCUUAAUCAUAGCUUGACCCCCAAUAACAUGAAAAAUUCACACUGUAAUUAACAAAUGACAUUCAGAUGUAACUACGUCAUAGUGAAGUGUAUGAAACACUAGUGCUGCAUUCCAUGAAGUAACAGUCUCCUGCAACAUACUGGCAUGAAGAAAGCUGAUUUUAAUUUAAAGCUCAUUUCAACUGUCUGGCCAUCAGUCACAUCGAUUGUCAUAAAUCCUCCAUUUCUCCCAAAGAGUCUCAGCAGGAAUUAAAAACCACCUAUGCUUAGAUACAUAAUAAUGCAGGAAUCAAUGGUCAAUCAAGCCACUGUGACUGACAAGAAUUCCCAGUGAACUUCUACAGCACCCCAGACAAAAUAAAUGCGCUUGAAAUAAAUUGUUUUUUAAAAUACUUCUUGAUUUUUCAGCUUAACAUCUAGUAACAGCAGCCAAAUGCAGGGCUGCUUUUUCAUUGUUGCUAUUAUAAAUGAUAUACCUGUAAUGCCAGCAUUAACCAUUAAUUAAAAGCAGUCUGACCUCUUAAACUUUUGUCAGAAAACAAAACGUUAGGAAAGGAAAAGUACUGUAAGAAAAUUAUCACUACUUUAAAUAGAACAUAUUUCUUGACUAAAAAUUUGAAAAAUACUAAAGGGUAUGAAAGAAUUUAACUUACAUUAAAAUAUUAUAUUUAAGAGCUAAAUAUCCAUCUGAUUAUUAUCUUCACUGAGUGUCAAUUUAAAAAGCUACAGAUGUAAAAUCUAAAACUUUCUUCAGAUUUUGAAGCAGUCCCCCAGUCAGCAGUUCUCAAACACUUUACAGUCCUUUGGUUGGGGAAAUUUAUUAUUUUGUCCCAGUACUGUAAGGAUUUCUCAAAUCUCUGUGCUUAAAAUAAUAGAACUUGAAAGGGUAUUAACGUCAGAAGCUAAUGAUAACUUUUUUAUAUAGCAACACCAUUAACAAUAUUACUACCCAAACCAUACCUUGAGGACAUUCACAACACAUGCUGGUGCAGUGGAAAUGGACCUGCCUAGCUACUCAUAACAUUCAUGCCUUUUAACUAAUCUUCUGCAAAAAGAAAAAGUGAACAUCACAUACAAAUACUGCAGAGAGUGCAGAAUUGUUACAGAUCAAACCACUGGCUCUCAUUCUGACUUUUCUACAAAUUGCUGGUAGCAUAAUUGCUCUAUAGUAUUAACUGUACUUAUCUCAAGUUGCAAUCUGCAAACACACAGACGUAACUACAUACAUACUGCAUCUUCCAAUCAGAAUUCAUCACACAUUUCCAUACGGAGAGAUAUCAAGCCUAAGUUCACUUGCCUGCCCUGAAGGGAUAAGAGAUAUACACCAAAGCUGGCCUCAAUGUCUCUCAAGCAUCCUGCAUGGAGGCAGCUGCCAUUGAGGUGCACUUAGCAGGCACCAGUAGGUGCCCACGUACUGGGCAAUCCCAUCCCACCUCAAAUAUGUGAAAUCCUUACAAAUCCCUGCCCUAUUAAUAACUUUCCUAUAAAUGGCUUAGCUGAAGGAGCAGGAGAUAAAAAACAUACAAAAAAAUACAAUGGGAAUUUUAAGAAGCAUAAAAAAUAGCAUAUUCAUGUUUUGAGUUUCCAAGUUAUUCCACUAAAGUCGUUAUGUAAUCACAUGCCAAGAGCAAAAUGAAAAACAAACUCAAAAGCAAAGGUUGUGUGAAAAGAGGAGAGGUGGAUGGGUGGGCAGGUUAAAGGCUGAAUCACCUCCAUAGAGUGCAAAAAAAGGGCAAAUCAGUUAAGCGAAUGUUUCAGAAAAACUUCACCAAGGGCCAGAAAAGCAUUAUGAAAAUUUUGGGUGAGAUCCCAACAAAAAGGUGAAAUAUUGCAGUAUGGCUGUACAAAAUCAGAAGACAGCUGAAAGAACACUGGAAAAAGAAGUUGUGCAGACUUCCAGCAACUGUAAUCUAUCAACACAAUCACUAAGGCAGAUGAGUACAGCAGGCUGUUUAAUUUGUCUUGUUUGUAUAGACUUUAAAUAUUGUAUACCAAAAGCACAGACAAACAGAAAUAUGGAGUCAUUUUUGCAGCAAACAGCUCCUCCCAGAGUUUAAGUGACCAAAUUCAAGUGUUCUUGAAGCAGUGAAAGGGGUGAAGGAAGGUAUCCAUUUGCAUCACAUAUUAGUUUUACUGAAGCAUCAUUAGCAGCUUGCCUCUCUGAUUGCAAAUGGCUCUGCUGGGAUUUGCCAAGCAGUCAUAAAAUGGCAGCUCUGAAGAUACAAUUUUAUAGAAGUAAUGCAGCAGCACCAUGCUCUAUUUCCUAACAUAACUUAGAUCUUGUAAGAUUCAUUGAUGAAAAAUAUAUCCAAAGACAAGUGGCAUACACUGCUCAAAUAAGAUCAUGCUGGAAAUCCAGGCAGCCCCUUAAACAAUUUGAAAAUCCUCUCCAACAAGUUAUUUUCACCAUAGGGCUUUAACAGUUCUAGUUUGGA